GGGGGAAUGGGAGUGAUGCAGACCAAAAAUGAAAAUGUCGGCGUGCAAUGAAAGGUGUGUGGGUGAACAUUUUCCUCUCUGCAGUGACCCGCUGAUCUUCUGCACUUGGCUUCCGUAGCAUCCUGUCUGCUGCCUAGCAACCCUCAGUAUCUAUGGCAACAAAGCCAACAAACCCUCCUGUCUCCAUCAAACAUACCCCACAAUGAGCCGCUGACAGUGGUCUCCUGUUUUGAAAUGGACUAUCCCUGAGUUAAGGCCUUUGCCAUGCUACUGUGAAAUUAUAGUAGGUAGAGUGUGGCUUGUGACGUUCCGCCCUCUAGUGGACACACGAAGAUAACAGCAAAAAAUCUGUGCUACGUGUCAAGCAUCGAUAAAGAUUCAUCGUUCAUAGUUUUUUUUUUUAGAUGUAUCGUAAUUUAAGAAGUUAAUUAAAACUGUAGUGUAUUUACAAAUGUUUUUAGGUAAUCGUAGAAAUUACUUUCAAAAUUACACCAAAACUUUGUUACACUUUAUGUAGGAUACAAUGUGACUUCAAUUGCAACAAUGCUUUAAUUUACUUCUUAUUGAAAAUGUAUCUUCACAUUUUUAUAUGCAUAAAAUAUAAAUGAGUAUUAGAAGAACGUGGUAAGAUGAGCCAUAUGUGGUCCAGAUUAAAUGAAUGAUAAAAUGGAAAAAUGAGUCAGAAAAACAAUAAAGAUAUUUAAGUUAA